rnacentral:rRNA from 1 species
AUACGGAGGAUGCAAGCGUUAUCCGGAUUUAUUGGGUUUAAAGGGAGCGCAGGCGGAGAUGCAAGCGUGACGUCAAAUUUCGGGGCUCAACCCCGUCUCGCGUCGCGAACUGCGUCCCUUGGUUGCGGGAAGGGGAGGCGGAACUCGUGGGGUAGCGGUGAAAUGCAUAGAUAUCACGAAGAACUCCGAUCGCGAAGGCAGCCUUCCGGCCCGUCAACGACGCUCAUGCUCGAAGGUGCGGGUAUCAAACAGGAUUAGAUACCCUGGUAGUCCGCACAGUAAACGAUGGACACCCGCGGUUUGGCCUGUAUGGCUGAGCCGCCAAGCGAAAGCGUUAAGUGUCCCACCUGGGGAGUACGCCGGCAACGGUGAAACUCAAAUGAAUUGACGGGG